AGAGAGAGACAUGCGCGCAUAUCAAUAAGCGGAGGAAAAGAAACUAACAAGGAUUCCCUUAGUAACGGCGAGUGAAGCGGGAAGAGCUCAAAUUUGAAAUCUUCAAGGUUUUACCUUGACGAAUUGUAGUUUAAAGAAGUGUUUUCUGCUGAAGUUUUGGAAAAAGUUCUUUGGAAUAGGACAUCAUAGAGGGUGAGAAUCCCGUAUUUGACCAUUAUUUUCAGCUUUGUGAUACACUUUCAAAGAGUCGGAUUGUUUGGGAAUGCAGUCCAAAAUGGGUGGUAAAUUUCAUCUAAAGCUAAAUAUUGGCGAGAGACCGAUAGCGAACAAGUACCGUGAGGGAAAGAUGAAAAGAACUUUGAAAAGAGAGUUAAACAGUACGUGAAAUUGUCAAAAGGGAAGCGUUUGACACCAGUGUUGUUUUCUCGAAAAUCAAUUAAAAAUGGCUCGAUUUUGUAUUGUUGAGACCUUAAAAGCUCACUGUACAUUUUUCGUGUCUUUUUUAAUGCACUUUUCGUUUAACAAGUCAACAUCAGUUUCUUUUGUUGUAAAAGGGUCAUUGGAAGGUGGCUUUCUUUUCGGAGAAAGUGUUUAUAGCCUUUGGCCUCUGCAAUCGAAGAGACUGAGGUCUGCAGCGUAGACUCUUCGGGGUUAGGAUACAUUUGUGCUAAGUUAUAGCUUUUUAUAGACAACUUGUUGACUAUAAUUAGUCUUGUAGCUUACUCGCUUAUGCUAUUUUACCUACGCUUAGGAUGUUGAGUCGUAGAGCACGCAG
rnacentral:rRNA from 1 species